GCGGCGAACGGGUGAGUAACACGUGGGUGAUCUGCCCUGCACUUCGGGAUAAGCCUGGGAAACUGGGUCUAAUACCGGAUAUGACCUCCUAUCGCAUGGUGGGUGGUGGAAAGAUUUAUCGGUGCAGGAUGGGCCCGCGGCCUAUCAGCUUGUUGGUGGGGUAAUGGCCUACCAAGGCGACGACGGGUAGCCGACCUGAGAGGGUGACCGGCCACACUGGGACUGAGACACGGCCCAGACUCCUACGGGAGGCAGCAGUGGGGAAUAUUGCACAAUGGGCGAAAGCCUGAUGCAGCGACGCCGCGUGAGGGAUGACGGCCUUCGGGUUGUAAACCUCUUUCAGCAGGGACGAAGCGCAAGUGACGGUACCUGCAGAAGAAGCACCGGCUAACUACGUGCCAGCAGCCGCGGUAAUACGUAGGGUGCAAGCGUUGUCCGGAAUUACUGGGCGUAAAGAGUUCGUAGGCGGUUUGUCGCGUCGUUUGUGAAAACCAGCAGCUCAACUGCUGGCUUGCAGGCGAUACGGGCAGACUUGAGUACUGCAGGGGAGACUGGAAUUCCUGGUGUAGCGGUGAAAUGCGCAGAUAUCAGGAGGAACACCGGUGGCGAAGGCGGGUCUCUGGGCAGUAACUGACGCUGAGGAACGAAAGCGUGGGUAGCGAACAGGAUUAGAUACCCUGGUAGUCCACGCCGUAAACGGUGGGCGCUAGGUGUGGG
rnacentral:rRNA from 1 species